rnacentral:misc_RNA from 1 species
AUUACAAGCAUACAUCCCAGGA